rnacentral:tRNA from 1 species
UCCGAGGUGGCGCAGCGGUAGCGCAGUUGACUGUUAAUCAAUUGGUCGUGGGUUCGAAUCCCACCCUCGGAGCCA